rnacentral:rRNA from 1 species
CCUACGGGGGGCAGCAGUAGGGAAUUUUGCGCAAUGGGGGAAACCCUGAUGCAGCAACGCCGCGUGAUUGAUGAAGCCUUUCGGGGUGUAAAGCUCUGUCAGUGGGGACGAAACUUUACGGUACUCACAGAGGAACCCUCGCCUAACUCGGUGCCAGCAGCCGCGGUAAUACGGGGGGUGCAAGCGUUGCCCGGAAUAAUUGGGCGUAAAGAGUUUGUAGGUGGCACGUGAAGUCGGGUGUUAAAUGCAGAGGCUUAACCUCGGUACGGCAAUGGAGACUGGCGGGCUUGAUUGCGGUAGAGGUAAGGGGAAUUCCUGGUGUAGCGGUGAAAUGCGUAGAUAUCAGGAGGAACAUCGGUGGCGGAAGCGCUUUACUGGGCCGUAAUUGACGCUGAGGAUCGAAAGCCAGGGGAGCAAAUGGGAUUAGAUACCCGAGUAGUC